rnacentral:rRNA from 1 species
CCUACGGGGGGCAGCAGUGAGGAAUAUUGCGCAAUGGCCGAAAGGCUGACGCAGCGACGCCGCGUGAGGGAUGAAGUCCGUUAGGAUGUAAACCUCUUUUGCAGGGGAUGAAUGUCUCGCUAUACGCGGGAUUGACCGUACCCUGCGAAUAAGGAUCGGCUAACUACGUGCCAGCAGCCGCGGUAAUACGUAGGAUCCGAGCGUUGUCCGGAAUUACUGGGUGUAAAGGGCGUGUAGGUGGGUUCCUAAGUCGGUGGUGAAAUCCCGCAGCUUAACUGCGGAAUUGCCUUCGAUACUGGGGAUCUUGAGUACGGCAGAGGGAGAUGGAAUUCAUGGUGUAGCGGUGAAAUGUGUAGAUAUCAUGAAGAACACCGGUAGCGAAGGCGGUCUCCUGGUCCGUAACUGACACUGAUGCGCGAAAGCGUGGGGAGCGAACAGGAUUAGAUACCCUGGUAGUC